rnacentral:rRNA from 1 species
AGACGGAUUAGAUACCCUGGUAGUCCACGCCGUAACGUUGGGCGCUAGGUGUGGGGCUUGUUUCCACGAGUUCCGUGCCGCAGCAAACGCAUUAAGCGCCCCGCCUGGGGAGUACGGCCGCAAGGCUAAAACUCAAAGGAAUUGACGGGGGCCCGCACAAGCGGCGGAGCAUGCGGAUUAAUUCGAUGCAACGCGAAGAACCUUACCAAGGCUUGACAUGGGCGGUAAUCCGGCAGAGAUGUCGGGUCCGUAAGGGCCGUUCACAGGUGGUGCAUGGUUGUCGUCAGCUCGUGUCGUGAGAUGUUGGGUUAAGUCCCGCAACGAGCGCAACCCUCGUUCCAUGUUGCCAGCACGUUAUGGUGGGGACUCAUGGGAGACUGCCGGGGUCAACUCGGAGGAAGGUGGGGAUGACGUCAAAUCAUCAUGCCCCUUAUGUCUUGGGCUUCACGCAUGCUACAAUGGCCAGUACAAAGGGCUGCGAGACCGUGAGGUGGAGCGAAUCCCAAAAAGCUGGUCUCAGUUCGGAUCGGGGUCUGCAACUCGACCCCGUGAAGUCGGAGUCGCUAGUAAUCGCAGAUCAGCAACGCUGCGGUGAAUACGUUCCCGGGCCUUGUACACACCGCCCGUCACGUCACGAAAGUCGGUAACACCCGAAGCCGGUGGCCUAACCCCUUGUGGGAGGGAGCUGUCGAAGGUGGGACUGGCGAUUGGGACGAAGUCGUAACAAGGUAGC